AUGAAAACGCCUCUGCAAAAGACUAUUGAACAGUCCAACACUCUGGACAGUAUUAGCUCCAUACAUUUGCAUUGCAUUCAAAUCAUCUAAAAACAUAAAUAUGACAUGAUAUAUGGUUUGACUCUUGAUUUGAGCAAUUAGGUGUAUAAAGUGGCUUUAAUAAAGAUUAAUUAGGUGUAAUUAAGUACAUAAUCUACCUACAAAAUGUUAAUUAUAUUAAAUAUUAACGUAUUAAUAAUGUAGUUAAUGGAAUGGCUCCUUCGUAUAGUCUAUAGCUGUCCUACCAGUGCCCUUCCCACCCAACUAAUUCUAGUGGACAAAACGUAUGCUCCUGUGUACUGUUCCAUGAUUCCAUCAUAUUUUCUUAAUAACCUUUUUUGUUAAUUUUAUGCGGACGAGUUUUGGUUGCUUUUCUAGAUCACAAUGAGCAGUCUAGAGUUGGAGAUAUUUAU